AAAAUAAUCCUACCCUUUGUGAAUUUUGUUUGUUUGAAUAAUUUUUUUUUUUAAAAAAUUAUUGGAGUCUUUCCCUUUAGAGUUUGCUUUUGAGUUUGUAAAAGAAUUCGAAAACAUCUAAAGGGGAUGGUCAAUAAUUUUUUUUGAAAAAAGACAUUUUUUAAAAUUAAACUUUUUGUAUUCAUUUGUCUAAAAAUUAUUUUUUAUAAUAUAAAAACAACUUUUGACAAUGGAUCUCUUGGUUCUCGCAACGAUGAAGAACGCAGCAAAAUGCGAUAAGUAGUGUGAAUUGCAGAAUACGUGAAUCAUCGAAUCUUUGAACGCAUAUUGCACUUUUUUAGUUUACUAAAAAAGUAUGUCUGUUUGAGUAUCAGUAAAAUAUUCUCAUAAAAAUCAUUGUGUAUUUUUAUGGUUAUGAGUGUUUUACAACGAUACAAGUUGUUUCACUUUAAAUUUUUUUUAAUAUUGAAAUUUUUCUAAUUUUAAUAAUUAAAAUUGGAUAAAAUUUUCCCGUCAAAAGGAAUAACCUAAACAAUUUUAAAUGAUUAAUUUUAGCAAAAUUUUCGAAAAAAGGAAAAUUUUUAUUAAAAUAACUUGAUCUCAAAUCAGAUAAGAGUACCCGCUGAACUUAAGCGUAUCAAUAAGCGGAGGAAAAGAACUAACAAGGAUUCCCUUAGUAACGGCGAGUGAAGCGGGAAGAGCUCAAAUUUGAAAUCUUCAAGGUUUUACCUUGACGAAUUGUAGUUUAAAGAAGUGUUUUCUGCUGAAGUUUUGGUAAAAGUUCUUUGGAAUAGGACAUCAUAGAGGGUGAGAAUCCCGUAUUUGACCAUUAUUUUCAGCUUUGUGAUACACUUUCAAAGAGUCGGAUUGUUUGGGAAUGCAGUCCAAAAUGGGUGGUAAAUUUCAUCUAAAGCUGAAUAUUGGCGAGAGACCGAUAGCGAACAAGUACCGUGAGGGAAAGAUGAAAAGAACUUUGAAAAGAGAGUUAAACAGUACGUGAAAUUGUCAAAAGGGAAGCGUUUGACACCAGUGUUGUUUUCUCGAAAAUCAAUUAAAAAUGGCUCGAUUUUGUAUUGCUGAGACCUUAAAAGCUCACUGUACAUUUUUCGUGUCUUUUUUAAUGCACUUUUCGUUUAACAAGUCAACAUCAGUUUCUUUUGUUGUAAAAGGGUCAUUGGAAGGUGGCUUUCUUUUCGGAGAAAGUGUUUAUAGCCUUUGGCCUCUGCAAUCGGAGAGACUGAGGUCUGCAUCGUAGACUCUUCGGGGUUAGAUACAUUUGUGCUAAGUUAUAGCUUUUUAUAGACAACUUGUUGACUAUAAUUAGUCUUGUAGCUUACUCGCUUAUGCUAUUUUACCUGCGCUUAGGAUG
rnacentral:misc_RNA from 1 species